UGUCGUCCACGCUCUGCACCUGGAACUCAGUCAGCCCUGGUACAUACAGCUGCCCACUGCCAUCUGGGCAUAGCCGGAUCUCCAGUUUUUCCUGAGGCUCUUUCCCUAGCAGGUCCCUGGAGGGCUCCUCCACCGCAUUCAGCUGACGCAGAGAUCUCACUCCACAAUGCAAUGAGCCCUGUGGGCAGGGCCCCCAGCUGCCCACUCCCACCCAUGGCCACCUGGUGCAGCCCACAGCACCACCCCGGAGGACCCCAAAGCUGCCCCUGAGGCCUGCUCUGCACACCCUGGGGCUCCCACCUGAGGACCUCGUUGUAGAUCUCCGCGGCGCUGACGGUGAUGGUGUACUCCCAGUCAGACGCCUUCUCCUGCACCUCGGAGAAGAGCAGCUGCAGGGCCCGCUGGUUGAUACCUGGGUUCUCGGGGGUCCCCUGGGGGCAGAAGGAAAGGCCCCAGUGAGCCAGGUCUGUCCCCCAAGCCCCUUGGCUACUCCUCACAGGCAAGCCUCCUUGCCCAAACCUCCUACCUACCUGCCACUGUCCCCCAAAAUGCCCUCCACCAGCUGCAGGCAACUGCACCUCUAUUUCCCCACCAUUAAAAUGGUAUCACCCUGCCAGGA